rnacentral:rRNA from 1 species
CUUGCUCCUUUGACGUUAGCGGCGGACGGGUGAGUAACACGUGGGUAACCUACCUAUAAGACUGGGAUAACUUCGGGAAACCGGAGCUAAUACCGGAUAAUAUUUCGAACCGCAUGGUUCGAUAGUGAAAGAUGGUUUUGCUAUCACUUAUAGAUGGACCCGCGCCGUAUUAGCUAGUUGGUAAGGUAACGGCUUACCAAGGCGACGAUACGUAGCCGACCUGAGAGGGUGAUCGGCCACACUGGAACUGAGACACGGUCCAGACUCCUACGGGAGGCAGCAGUAGGGAAUCUUCCGCAAUGGGCGAAAGCCUGACGGAGCAACGCCGCGUGAGUGAUGAAGGUCUUCGGAUCGUAAAACUCUGUUAUUAGGGAAGAACAUACGUGUAAGUAACUAUGCACGUCUUGACGGUACCUAAUCAGAAAGCCACGGCUAACUACGUGCCAGCAGCCGCGGUAAUACGUAGGUGGCAAGCGUUAUCCGGAAUUAUUGGGCGUAAAGCGCGCGUAGGCGGUUUUUUAAGUCUGAUGUGAAAGCCCACGGCUCAACCGUGGAGGGUCAUUGGAAACUGGAAAACUUGAGUGCAGAAGAGGAAAGUGGAAUUCCAUGGGUAUAGCC